rnacentral:lncRNA from 1 species
UCAUUUGUUAUGUUAGUUGGGCAUUUUUAUUAAGGGUCUUAAGGAACAUUAAUUAGACAUGACAUGUGUUAAAUUUUGAGGAUGACAUGUGUCAAGCUAUUGUGUCAUGUACUGUGUUUUAGUAUAAUUAAUAGAUUUGUAGUGAUUUAGGGGAUUAUAAAUUCAAAAUAUUAAAUUUGGGAUUAAAAAAGUAGUGAUUUUAAGAGAUAAUAAUUAAAUUAGUAAUGAUAAUAUUAAAACAGUUAACAUUAUCAAAACAGUUU